GAACUCCAUGUGUAGCGGUGAAAUGCGUAGAUAUAUGGAAGAACACCAGUGGCGAAGGCGGCUGUCUGGUCUGCAACUGACGCUGAGGCUCAUAAGCAUGGGUAGCGAACAGGAUUAGAUACCCUGGUAGUCCAUGCCGUAAACGAUGAGUGCUAAGUGUUGGAGGGUUUCCGCCCUUCAGUGCUGCAGCUAACGCAUUAAGCACUCCGCCUGGGGAGUACGACCGCAAGGUUGAAACUCAAAGGAAUUGACGGGGGCCCGCACAAGCGGUGGAGCAUGUGGUUUAAUUCGAUGCUACGCGAAGAACCUUACCAGGUCUUGACAUCUUCUGCUAACCUAAGAGAUUANGCGUUCCCUUCNGGGACGGAAUGACAGGUGGUGCAUGGUUGUCGUCANCUCNUGUCNUGAGAU
rnacentral:rRNA from 2 species